rnacentral:rRNA from 1 species
UACAGAGGGUGCGAGCGUUGUUCGGAAUUAUUGGGCGUAAAGGGCGCGUAGGCGGCGGGGUAUGUCACCGGUGAAAUCUCCUGGCUCAACUGGGAGCUUGCAGGCGAAACUGCCGUGCUGGAGUGUGGGAGAGGUGCGUGGAAUUCCUGGUGUAGCGGUGAAAUGCGUAGAUAUCAGGAGGAACACCUGUGGCGAAAGCGGCGCACUGGACCACAACUGACGCUGAGGCGCGAAAGCUAGGGGAGCAAACAGG